rnacentral:rRNA from 1 species
UGGGGAAUUGUUCGCAAUGGGCGCAAGCCUGACGACGCAACGCCGCGUGGAGGAUGAAGGUCUUCGGAUUGUAAACUCCUGUUGCCCGGGACGAACAGCUUCGACCUAACACGUCGGAGUCUGACGGUACCGGGUGAGGAAGCCCCGGCUAACUCUGUGCCAGCAGCCGCGGUAAUACAGAGGGGGCAAGCGUUGUUCGGAAUUACUGGGCGUAAAGGGCGCGUAGGCGGCCUGCUAAGUCGAACGUGAAAUCCCCGGGCUCAACCCGGGAACUGCGUCCGAGACUGGCAGGCUUGAAUCCGGGAGAGGGAUGCGGAAUUCCAGGUGUAGCGGUGAAAUGCGUAGAUAUCUGGAGGAACACCGGUGGCGAAGGCGGCAUCCUGGACCGGCAUUGACGCUGAGGCGCGAAAGCCAGGGGAGCAAACGGGAUUAGAUACCCCGGUAGUCCUGGCCCUAAACGAUGAAUGCUUGGUGUGGCGGUAUCGAUCCCUGCCGUGCCGAAGCUAACG